UAUAUUGUAGGCACACAUCUUUGAGUUGCCUGAAGAAAAGCUAUGCCUCUCUUUCCUUUCCAACAAUAACACGGGCGAAGACGGAACAGUGAUCUUCCGAGGGGAUAAGCACUAUGUGCCUAGCGUUCUGUCUCCAUUCUUGCUGGGUGCAAGAACGUAGUUUACAAUACCAAGAGAGUGUUUGUACAACACAGUGAAAGGUCAUUCCAUACCUCAGAUGUAACAAGCAAGAAUAACCAGUGGGAGAUGUACUCAGAAACGGUCCCAAAGUAUCGUGAUACUAAAGUCAGGACAAAGGAACCCCUGGAGCAAUAUAACCAAACCAAGGACGAUACUGACUACUUAUGGUACACCACAAGCUUUCGCUUGGAGUCGGAUGAUUUGCCCUUUAGAAAUGACAUCCGGCCUGUGCUUCAGGUCAAAAGUAGUGCACACGCAAUGAUGGGAUUUGCUAAUGAUGCUUUCGUAGGUAACUUGGACCAACUCUGUAACAAUCUUGUUCCUCCAAAG